ACCUCAUAACCCAUUUUGUCUACCAUGUCCUUCACCACUUGAUACAUA
rnacentral:sRNA from 1 species